UGCUUGUGGUCUUAUUUUUUAAGCUUUCACAUUUGGAAGGGUAGCUGUUCAGAAAGGUGUAUAAUUAUAGCUUUCGAAGGCUAUAUCACCAUCAAAGCUAGGAUAUUCUCUUGGACUAUAUCACCAUCAAAGCUAGAGUAUUCUCUUAAGUAAGUUUUCCUUUAUUCACAUGUUGAUCAACAGAGACAAAGCUACGGUUAGACUAUGGAAUGUGCCAAAUUUUAUUCUAAUUGUCCUGCUUUUGUCUGUCAUCGAGAUGUUUUCCUGUAUUCAGUUGUUGGGUUUGAUGGUGAACUAAAGACUGUGUCUCAAAAAUCUGUUGAUGUUUUCAUUCCUUCUGAUUUUUAUAAUUUACG